UGGUGCACACGUGAGAGGAUGGGCCAUGUGGGAGGACGGCUCAUCGGGGGUUUCGGUGACUCCACUGACUAAUUUCCACGUGAUGUGAUUAUAUGAAGGUGAUAAUAAUUGUGAUUGCUGUUGUAUUGCCAUUUGUGUGAUAAACUGCAUGAUCAUAUACUAAAUCGGUGAUCAGAUAAAAAUAUUUUAGCAUCUGUGUGAUUGUGUGGGGUGAGAGGGUUAUCUAACCCUACUCAUUGAGUUUGGCGCUCACCCCUGCCUACUUAUUUUUUUUUCAGGUAAUAGAAGAAAGUCCUAUGGAGUUGAAACAUUAAUUAUAGAAGACUGUUAAUGAGAAAAUAAUGAAGUAAAUGUACAGGUAGAGUUCCGCAAUUGUAUUCCAACUGGGUUGUAAAUGAUCAAAUAGAGUAUAGACAUUUAUUAUGUGGGUUGUACUUUGGAUAUAUAUUUGUGAAAUAAAUUAUUGGGCCUGAAUCCAUAAUUAUGAAUAGAAUGUAAGAUUUAAAUAAGUUAGGCUUACUACGGGCUUUGGGGGCCUUAAGCCCACCCAGGUCCUAGUGCCGGUCCGGCCCACGGAAAUGGGUCGUGACAUUUUCUUAAUUAAUUAAGAGAUCUAAUAAGUAGAAACAACACAAUAGGAAUC
rnacentral:lncRNA from 1 species